UCCCUUCUAGUAUAAAAUCUAUUUGUGUUGUAGAGAGUCUGUUUUCACUUAUUAAAAUAUUUUUAAUGGCUGCACAUCCAAAAUUGUGAGGUAUAAUGGUGUACAAAGACUGUACAUCGCAUGUAGCUAGAAUAAAAUUGGAAUUCCACUUAAAAUUAUUUAAAAAGUUUAAAAGGGACAUUGAGUCUUGUAGAUAAGAUUAAAUUUUUUUAACUGCAGGUUGUAGGAGAGUAUCGAU